rnacentral:lncRNA from 1 species
CAGGGUAGUCACAUGGGUGAACAGAAUGUCCGAAUGGCCAACUCCCAGUAAAAACUCUGGACAACAAAGCUUGGAGGGAGAGGAAAAGGCCCAACACCUGCUUGUCAGGGCUCCUGGAUCACGCCCUGCUGCCUGCUGACCUAUAUUGGACUCAAGCCCUUCUUCUGGCAUGCUCACCUGUUAACCCACCUAUCAGCCCACACCUCUGACUGCUGGCUGCUCCCCAU